rnacentral:rRNA from 1 species
UACGUAGGGUGCAAGCGUUGUCCGGAAUUAUUGGGCGUAAAGAGCUCGUAGGCGGUCUGUCGCGUCUGCUGUGAAAACUCAGGGCUUAACCCUGAGCUUGCAGUGGGUACGGGCAGACUAGAGUGCGGUAGGGGAGACUGGAAUUCCUGGUGUAGCGGUGAAAUGCGCAGAUAUCAGGAGGAACACCGGUGGCGAAGGCGGGUCUCUGGAACGGUACUGACGCUGGAGGAGCGAAAGCCGUGGGGAGCGAACAGG